CCUACGGGUGGCAGCAGUGGGGAAUAUUGCUCAAUGGACGAAAGCCUGAAGCAGCGACGCCGCGUGAGGGAUGAAGGUCCUCUGAUCUUAAACCUCUGUCUGCAGGGAAGAACGCUCACUUUGCUAAUCAGCACUGAAUUUACGGUACCUGCAAAGGAAGCCCCGGCUAACUCCGUGCCAGCAGCCGCGGUAGUACGGAGGAUGCAAGCGUUGAUCGGAAUUACUGGGCGUAAAGCGCGCGUAGGCGGUAGGUUAAGUCAGAGGUGAAAUCCCCCCGCUCAACAUGGGAAUUGCAUCUGAUACGGGUCGACUAGAGGGUAGUAGCGGAAGGUGGAAGUCAUGGUGUAGCGGUGAAAUGCGUAGAGAUCAGAAAGAACACCAGUGGCGAAGGCGGCUA
rnacentral:rRNA from 1 species